rnacentral:tRNA from 1 species
GCGGGUGUCGUAUAGUGGCUAUUAUACCUCCUUGCCAAGGAGGAGAGGGGAGUUCGAUUCUCCUCACCCGCU